GCUGAACAUUAAGGAAGAAUACCGUAUUGGGAGAAGAUGGCAAGAGUCUGAUUCAAACUUCCAGUCUACCCUUAAAGAUGUGGACCGUGAGCUCAGAGUCCAACUGCAAGGCUAGAACUGAAUCAAGGGAGAGAGAGCAGUCCUCCUCCACCUGAGAAGAAUAUAUCCAGCUUUGCUUCAGAUGGGCAGGACAUUGCCAUUAGACUCUCCAAGCAGGUAGCCAGCUCCAACAAUAGACUGAGACAGGCAAUAUAAGAAUACAACAGCAUUCAAUGGUCACCGCCGAUGAGCUUCUUUCUUGCGACAAUUGAUUUUCAGGAAUCAUGUGAUCCCUCUUGGCAUGUCUACUUCUGCUUUGAUGACACUAUUGAAGAAGAUGAUGUUUCGAGAAGUCUAAAAAGGCGAGGGAUUGAUGCCUUACAUAUGAAGACUCGGGCAGCUGAGGAAAGCACAUGCUUUACCAAGAAAUGAAAAGUCUAACUAAACACCCCAUCAGGAGCAGGCCUCUAACAUCUGUGCUAUAACAUCAAAGACACUGAGCAGCCUGGUGCAAAAGCUGCUCUCAUUCAACACCUCCAACAGCUGGAAAGAAAACUACAUCAAGCCAUUGGUGAUGUUUCACCCACAUGUAUCAGACUUUGUUCCUGCAGACAACACCCACUUGUGUCAGGCCCUCCCCAUGCCAAGCAUACAGACACUGGUAUACAAUGAUAAGAGUGAUAAUUAUGACAAUGUGGAUAAAUAUGAUAACUAGCACUACAUAUUUUUUUAAUUUCUAGUCUGAUAUUGUAUUCUGUAAAAAGAAUGAUGUAAAUGUAUAGUAUAUGUUGCAGCAUAUCAUAGAAACCUUGGUGGUGUAAUAUAAUGUUCGCCUUACUUGUGCAAACAUGAUGUUUUACUAAAUCUGAUUUAUUUUAAAGCGUAGGUACUGUUUUUAAGCACACAUAUUCACACUAGUCUGUGUGAGGACAAAAUUGUGUGUUUACCAUUGUGGUGUUACUUAUUUACUGUAAUGUACAAAUGUGGUCAAUGUGUGUAAGGUGUUUUGUUUUUGUGAGCUAAGUUAAAAUGACAAAGUAUUGAA